UGGGGAAUAUUGGACAAUGGGCACAAGCCUGAUCCAGCAAUGCCGCGUGAGUGAGGAAGGCCUUAGGGUUGUAAAGCUCUUCACCCACGACGAUGAUGACGGUAGUGGGAGAAGAAGCCCCGGCUAACUUCGUGCCAGCAGCCGCGGUAAUACGAAGGGGGCGAGCGUUGUUCGGAUUUACUGGGCGUGAAAGGGCGCGCAGGCGGCGGACCAAGUCAGGCGUGAAAGCCCCGGCGUAAUCACUGGGAGGUGCGUCUGGGACUGGUUUGCUAGAGUUCGGGAGAGGAGAGUGGAAUUCCCAGUGUAGAGGUGAAAUUCGUAGAUAUUGGGAAGAACACCGGUGGCGAAGGCGGCUCUCUGGACCGAGACUGACGCUGAGGCGCGAAAGCGUGGGGAGCAAAACAGGAUUAGAUACCC
rnacentral:rRNA from 1 species